rnacentral:rRNA from 1 species
AUUGAACGCUGGCGGCAUGCCUUACACAUGCAAGUCGAACGGCAGCACGGGUGCUUGCACCUGGUGGCGAGUGGCGAACGGGUGAGUAAUACAUCGGAACGUACCUUAUCGUGGGGGAUAACGCAGCGAAAGCUGUGCUAAUACCGCAUACGCCCUGAGGGGGAAAGCGGGGGAUCGAAAGACCUCGCGCGAUUAGAGCGGCCGAUGCCUGAUUAGCUUGUUGGGGGGGUAAAAGCCCACCAAGGCGACGAUCAGUAGCUGGUCUGAGAGGACGAUCAGCCACACCGGGACUGAGACACGGCCCAGACUCCUACGGGAGGCAGCAGUGGGGAAGUUUGGACAAUGGGGGCAACCCUGAUCCAGCAAUGCCGCGUGAGUGAAGAAGGCCUUCGGGUUGUAAAGCUCUUUUGUCAGGGAAGAAACACCGGCUCUAACACAGUCCGGGAAUGACGGUACCUGAAGAAUAAGCACCGGCUAACUACGUGCCAGCCGCCGCGGUAA